rnacentral:tRNA from 1 species
GGAGAGGUGGCAGAGUGGUCGAAUGCACCGCACUCGAAAUGCGGCAUACGUUAAUAGCGUAUCGGGGGUUCGAAUCCCCCCCUCUCCG